AGACAUCACUAGGGGUGCCACGGCGUUUCAUCACGCUGACGGGCUGAGAUCACACCCUCUGAACCUGAUUCCGGGUCAUGCCGGCGCAGGGAAGUGACCAGCGUGAUCG
rnacentral:ncRNA from 2 species